rnacentral:rRNA from 1 species
AAUCAACGCUGGCGGCGUGCCUCAGACAUGCAAGUCGAACGCGAAACCUUCCUUCGGGAGGGGAGUAGAGUGGCGCACGGGUGAGUAACACGUAGGUAAUUUGCCUUCGGGUGGGGAAUAACAGCCGGAAACGGCUGCUAAUACCGCAUAAUGCAGCGGCUCGACAUCGAGACAGUUGUUAAAGCGGGGGAUUCGCAAGAACCUCGCGCCUGAAGAGAAGCCUGCGGCAGAUUAGCUAGUUGGUAGGGUAAUGGCCUACCAAGGCGACGAUCUGUAACCGGCCUGAGAGGGCGGUCGGGUCACACUGACACUGACAUACGGGUCAGACUCCUACGGGAGGCAGCA